rnacentral:rRNA from 1 species
UACAGAGGUCUCAACCGUUGUUCGGAUUCAUUGGGCGUAAAGGGUGCGUAGGCGGUCGCGCAAGUCGGAUGUGAAAUCUCAGGGCUCAACCCUGAAACUGCAUUCGAUACUGCGUGGCUAGAGUGCUUGGAGAGGAGACUGGAAUUUACGGUGUAGCAGUGAAAUGCGUAGAUAUCGUAAGGAAGACCAGUGGCGAAGGCGAGUCUCUGGACAGCAACUGACGCUGAGGCACGAAGGCCAGGGGAGCAAACGGG